GUACCCUCCAGCCCUGCUGGGUGUUGGGCGUUUUGUUCCGCUGCGCGCGUGAACUCGCCUCAAAUGCAUUGGCAGCCAGCCGUCCCGCGUGGGAGCGCAGCACAUUUUGCGCUUUCAGCUGGGUGCGGUAGCUUCCACAAGCCUAUACCUUUAC
rnacentral:misc_RNA from 1 species